rnacentral:rRNA from 1 species
UCGGAUUGCAGUCUGCAACUCGAGUGCAUGAAGCUGGAAUCGCUAGUAAUCGCGGAUCAGAAUGCCGCGGUGAAUACGUUCCCGGGUCUUGUACACACCGCCCGUCACACCAUGGGAGUCGGGAAUGCCCGAAGCCGGUGGCCCGAUCGAAAGAAGGGAGCCGUCGAAGGCAGGCCGGAUGACUGGGGUGAAGUCGUAACAAGGUAAC